UUUUUUUUUUUUUUUUUUGAGACAGAGUCUUGCUCUGUCGCCAGGCUGGAGUGCAGUGGUGGGAUCUUGGCUCACUGCAACCUCUGCCUCUUGGGUUCAAGCGAUUCUCCUGCCUCAGCCUCCAGAGUAGCUGGGACUACAGGCGUGCACUAGCACGCCCAGCUGAUUUUUUGUAUUUUUAGUAGAGACGGGAUUUCACCAUGUUGGCCAGGAUGGUCUCGAUCUCUCGACGUCGCGAAUACCUGAUUUUUUUAAGAGCCAACAAAGCUGGUGCCCAGAGACCAAGGUUAACCACUCAUACUACAGUACUAUACAGCCUCCUCUAAGGUAUCCCUGCAUUUCAUUUCACUCCAGACCUCUAAACCCAUGGGUUCCCUGCAGCCUAACUUUUGCACAAUAUAACUUAAUAGUAGGGGUCCCUGGACUUCUGUGGAAAAAGGAAGCUGCAUGUGAGGUGGGAAUUUGAAAGAAGAGUAUGAAUAGUUUAAAUUCCAGAACUGCCUUGGAUUUCUAGAUGACGUAUCUAACUCCAAAACCAAACAAUAGACAUUCUUAAGAAUAUUCACAAUGUCCCUAAAUUAAAGCAAAUUUUUAUGCUUCUCUUAUGGGAGAAUAAAGUGGUUUACAGGCUUCUGGUCAAUUCAUACGUCGUGCUGUUUACUUUUAUUUAAAAUUAACUUAGGUCUGCCUUUUUAAAGGUAAGAGAAUUUAAAUUUUAGACGUAAAGUCUAAAUUUGUUACAUUCAAAAGGAAUUAUGUACUAAAUUCAAAAGACAAUUUAAAUUCAAGUUCUAUUUUUUCUGCAUGUGCUUUGAAGUUAAGAGUUAUACACACCUAAACAAAUUAAAAAUUAUUCAACUGGCAUUACAUUGUAAACGAGUAUCUCAUUUAGGAACCAGAUGAUACUUUAUAUAUAUUUACACAUGCUUAUAUAUAUAUAUACACACACAUACAUACAUACAUAUCCAAAAUACAAUCAAGCACUAGACAAAAUAGUCAUAUUGUUGGUAUUACGAUUUUAUAAGUUUGUUUUGUUCUGAUUUGCAUUUGAAAAUUAGGUCAGCCAAAACUUGAUGGCAAAUAGUCUGAUUUACAGCCCAACUAUGACAGUCAAAGGAGACACCAGAAUUACCUGUCACUAAAUCCCAUCACCAGUAUUACCAGGGAUGUGGGUGAGGACUGUCAAGGGCAUUACAGGCAAUGGAAUAGUAACACACAAAGAUUUGGGGAUUUUAACAAACUAAAACCAGUAUUUCACGAAGACCUAAUAAGGACAAGGUCACAACCUAUCCCCACAUGGUCAAAUUAACGUGGAAAGGAGAAAAACUUCACUCUGACAUCGAUUGGUCCUGCUUUCUUUGGGGAGGAAAAAAAGCAUUUUUAUACUCUGAACUCUGUCGUUCUCAUAGACAAAGUUAUAGCAGUAUUUGCAGAGAGUAGGGAGUAUCCCAUCCACCACUUAUUUCUUUCUCAUAUCUACUGAGUAAUCCAAUACAAGAAAGAAAAAGAUAACCAGGACUUAAAGCAAAAACAGAAUUCAGUUCCAUGCUACCCCGGUCUUAUUAUUUCCAGGUGUUAUAACUGGGAGUUGUGCGGCCAGAUUUGAGUUCUACUUCCGCUCCUUUAAUCCCCUAUUCCGAAGAGUCCAAGAGCAGCAGCUAAUAAAAAGACCAACUCGAAAGUGGGGAAGGGAUGUUGGGGUUAAAGAGGGGAGUUAAAUAACCAGACCUUUAGUGAAGAAUAAAGAAUUCAGGCUGCAGUUUCUAGAAAUAAGUUAUUACAGGCCUGUAAAGUCUGGCGCUGGGUAAAGCCCAAGAUGCUUUCCCUAACUCCAAAACGACGACCUUAGAGGGUUGGGGCACCACAGCGGCCGGAUUUCUAAUUGUGGAAAGUUUAAACAAAUUUAUUCCUCGGGGAAUGGGGGAAGGGAGGGAAGAACAAGUCUGGGCUCGGCCGUGCAGCGUGCGGAGUCUGCACGGCGCAGCCGUCGGUCCAACGCGCGGAGGCUCAGGGAUUUUCGGCAGCAGCGACUUCAUCCACCCCGGACCGCCGGCUGGAGGACGUGCCUGGAGCCGGCGGGCAUGUGCGGCCAAUUCGGUGGAACGAGGACGCGGACCGCGAAGGCAGGUACCCUCCUCUGAAAUCAAAACUCUUUAAUUAAAGAGACAUGAAAUGACAAGAUUUAAAAAAAAAAUCCCAUGAGGAGAAGGCAUUCUAAUUUAGUACAGAUGGAGUUUCACCAUCUUGGUCAAGCCGGUCUCGAACUCUGACCUUGUGAUCCACCCGCCUCGGCCUCCCAAAGUGCUGGGAUUACAGGCGUGAGCCACCGUUCCUGGCUCAGGUCUCCUCAACUCUCUGGGAUGACCUGCCUGUGAGACUAGGUCUCACUCAUUGCCUAGCCUGGAGUGUAGUGGCCAUUCACAGGUGUGAUCAUAGAGCACUGCAGCCUUGAAUCCCUGGCCUCAAGCAAACUCUGGCUUCAAGUGAUUCUCCUGCCCCAGCCUCCCAAGUAGCUGGGACUAUAAUUGUGGGCUACCUUGCCCAGCUUAUUCUGCUUAUUUCUACAUAAGAAGUAUCAAUUUACUCAAUUGCAUUAGGAAGUUGUAUCUUUCCAGAGAAAUUAAGGAAACAUCUGUAAAUUCUGAGGAUAAGUUUGUAAACAGAAAAUGAGGAAAUUUUUUUCAAGCAAAAUUUGCAAGAGGAUCAAAAUGAUGGUAGGUUCUAGCAGUUUCACUUCUUGGUUGCUAUAGGCCUAGUUUCUUGCCAUUUCUACUGUCUGUGGAGAUCUAUUUCCAAAUUGAUAGAUGAAAUACAAAUAAUUGUGGUGCUGAAGCUUUAAUUAUCUCUUUCUUUUAUUCAAAACAUUUACUUGGUAUUUACUGUGUGCCAAGCUCUAGUAUACAAAGGUGAAUAAGACACAGCCAGUGGUUUUAUGGAAUUCUCUGGUCUGUGCAAUAAGUGAGGCAUAGACAUUCUAUGGAAAUAUCUCAAGAAUCCUAGCAAAUCAUUCCUUUGUGUAACAAUAACCAGCCUAAAAGAUCAGGUUUGUAAAAUACUUCAUUCUUUGUUAAAUACUGCCAGUCUUAUCCCAUUUGCCUCUUCCCUCUCCCAGUGUCUAGUAGAGCCUGGCUAUCCAUGAAGACCUAGAUAAAUACAUAUCCAAUUGAUCUGAAAUACCUGAACUAACCACUGUUUUGAAGCCAAGUGUCUAAGACACUAAUUGUAAUUAGCAAUGUCUGAACAUAAUCUGAAUUUGAAUGCCUUUGGGCAAGUUAUGCAGAGUUUGCCCCAGGUCUUACCAUUCUCCAUUGUAUUAGACCUAGCUGGAUUCACUUAUUUUUGUUGCCUGCCAAACCCAAUAGGUAUUUGAGUUUUGGGGGAAUCUUAGAGCCAGUACUCUGCUGUCAUAGGUAUAUGAGUAAUUAUUCGACCUCUAAACCAUCUGUGGCAUAGACUACCAGUAGCCUUAAGAUGCUAUUCUACUCAAUUUAAUAGAGCACUUAAGUUCAAAUUAAAUCUCAAUUUUUUAAGCAAUAAACAAUGAGUUCCCACUUUUUAUAAGCCUUUAUAUUAGAAAGUUGUGAGAAUUCAUAGAAGAAUUUAUCACUGGAGAAUUCAUAGAAGGUUUCCUCUAAGAAAGGGCCCUUGCCCUUAAAGACAUUGUACCAUAAUUGGAAGGUUAAAACUCUCACACAUGAAAAAUAGUAAAACUGAUGUAAAACAAGUGAUAAAAUCGCAAAAGCCCUAGAAGUGGACUAGAGGAAGGGAGACUUCCCAGAGGGGUAGGAUUUGAACUGGGCCUUUGAAGCACUAGUAGGAUUUGGAGUUGAAGCUAUUUUAAAGGGCGGUGCAUAGCUGAUUCAGAAGCAGUCUCAGAGGUGCAAAUGCACAGGCGUGUUGAGGGGACAAUGAACAGAGUAACUUGGCUGGACACUUAGGUUGAGAAUGUCAAGAGCUUAAUGCUAGGCAGAGCUGCCAAUCAGGAGAUAGUGGCAGUCACUCAAAAACUGAGUGACAAUACCAAAGGAGUAUCUGAAAAAGAUUAAAUCUAAUUUUUUUUUCAGUAUAGAAUUGAGGGUGGGUGGAAUUGGCAGACAGCCACCCAAUUAGGGGGUCACUGUAUUCAUCUAGAUGUUUGGUAACAAGGCCCUAACUUCAGGUCAGAAAAAGGAAGCAAGGAAGAGGAAGAAGAAACAUAUAAGACAAUUGACAAAACAAUUGACUACUGAUCAGCCAUGCGCAAGAGACAAAGAGAGAAGCAACAAGAUUGACUGGGGUUUUAAGGCCAGACCAGCAAGACAAUAUUGGAGCCAUGGGGAAGGAAGGGGUGGCAGGGAGAAAUAGAAGAUUGGGAGCUGAUUUUAGAGGGAAGACAGUAAGUUUGGUUUUAGUCUGGGCAAGGCAUAAGCAUUCCAAAAAAUUAUAGGUCCAGAGUUUGGGACAAAAUUUAGGGCUAAAGAUAAGGAAGUUAUUUCUAAUAUGGAAAUGUUAGUUAAUAUCGAGGAAUGAAUGAACCAUCUGAUGGGGAGAAUAUAAAAAGAAAGAUUAUAAAGAAAAGAUCUGAACUCAGGAACGUCCCAAAAUUUGGAGAGCAGGAACAGAGGACUAGUGAAGAAGGCAGAGACAAGGUGGUCAGAAUAGCAUCAGAAGCUCCCCCAGAGCAGUACUUCUGAGGCAAGGGAGGAAAAUCCCUCAAAGCAGGGGCAGUUCAUCAUAGGGAGCCGUGAAGACUAAGAACUGGAAGUCAGCCCACAGGUGUGUUAGAGACAGCUGGAAGGCAUCAGAGGUGACUGGGGCUAGAUAACCUUUCAGAUGCUUUUGUCUAUCCUGGAAUUCUGUGAGUUGAUUUGAAGGUUAUCGAGCCCAGCUAUAGUGGAGCAGGGUGUGGCAUGAGGAGGUGAUACUACAGUUGCCCCUUUACAGAGUAACCCAAGUAUGCAACAAUUAAGACAUAUGACAUAUUUGGACGUUAGCAUGUGGAAUUAAAAUGACACACAACAAUCUAUUGGUUGCUGUCCAACAUAUUGUAAAGCAAAUAAACUCUGAAGCAUGACCCAUAAUACUGUCUCUACCAUCUCCUUUUUCAAAUCAACCUCAAACUUCCCCCUGUCCAUUACAUGAACAUUUCAUUUCUGGUGAUUUUCCUGACAUUUCAUCAAAUAAAUCCAUUCAGCAAUUCGGCAAGCACCCAAUAAGCACCUAUGUGUAUUGCCAGGUACUGCACUAGGAACUUGGGACUCAGAGAACUUUAAAGGUGUGCUUCUUGCCUGUGAGGAGCUCCAGUUCAAUGGAGAAAUCUGGGGAGGAGACACCCUGAAGCAGCACACAACAAACAGCCUGCUGAUGGGGAGACCUCAAAUAAUGAAGGCAAAUAGAUCAGGUUCCAGUGGCAAGAGCAGCAGGAGCAGGAUUGUUCAUCACUCACAGAAUCUUAGGCUUGGAAAGGAGCUUGGAGGACAUCCAGACAUAAGCUAAUAAUGUCUCUUGCCUAAAAUGGUGUGGAGAGAAGGUAGGCCACCCUUCCCCCACCCUGGCAGCCUCAUCAUGGUCCACAACAUAAACAGUAUGAGAGUAUCUCAACCCACUCGUUACUCACAUGAGGACUUGUCACAGCUCCACAGGUAAAGAUGCAAAAGAAAACAACAGAAAACAAUUGCUGUUUGUAUUAGAUUUCCUUACAGUAGCCACCAAAAUGAACAGCCAAAAGGAAAAACAAAACCAUCAACAUGCAGUAGCUCCACCCCAGGAAUCUUUCUAGCUGGGACGUAUGAGGAUGGUAACAAAAAAGCACUAAGAAUUUGGCGUUAAGAUAUAUUCAUCAAGAGAAGAAAAGUUGUUCAUUCAGCUUAAGGUUUGCUGUAACAUGAGAGUGAGUCAAACCAGAACUAGUACUGAGGAACUGAC